UCAAUCUAUCUACUGCUGUCAAUCUAUCUAUCACUGUCAAUCUAUCUAUUACUGUUAAUCUAUCACUGCUAAUCUAUCGCUGCUAAUCUACCGCUGUCAAUCUAUCUACUGCUGUCAAUCUAUCUACCACUGCCAAUCUAUCUAUCACUGCUAAUCUAUUGCUGCUAAUCUAUCACUGCUAAUCUAUCGCCGUCAAUCUAUCUACCGCUGUCAAUCUAUCUACCGCUGCCAAUCUAUCUACCACUGCCAAUCUAUCUAUCACUGCUAAUCUAUUGCUGCUAAUCUAUCACUGCUAAUCUAUUGCUGCUAAUCUAUUGCUGCCAAUCUAUCUAUCACUGCUAAUCUAUCACUGCUGCCAAUCUAUAUAGGAUAAAUCAUGAUCCCAUUUGAUUCCAUUUUGUAAAAUAAAAUUAAAUAAAAUCAGAAUCACUAAUUUAUUAGUAAAAUAUGAUCUGAGACUAGAUUUUUAAUAUAAACAGUGUAAAAUAACUAAUUUACUAAACAUUAUAUGAAAUCAGAACUAAGAUAUCUAAUAAUAGAACUAAGGAAAAAUUUGGUCUCAGUUCCAUGCAUGGUCACAC
rnacentral:sRNA from 2 species